CAGGCUUAACACAUGCAAGUCGAGGGGCAUCAGGAAGAAAGCUUGCUUUCUUUGCUGGCGACCGGCGCACGGGUGAGUAACACGUAUCCAACCUGCCCUUUACUCGGGGAUAGCCUUUCGAAAGAAAGAUUAAUACCCGAUAGCAUAAUGAUUCCGCAUGGUUUCAUUAUUAAAGGAUUCCGGUAAAGGAUGGGGAUGCGUUCCAUUAGGUUGUUGGCGGGGUAACGGCCCACCAAGCCUUCGAUGGAUAGGGGUUCUGAGAGGAAGGUCCCCCACAUUGGAACUGAGACACGGUCCAAACUCCUACGGGAGGCAGCAGUGAGGAAUAUUGGUCAAUGGACGAGAGUCUGAACCAGCCAAGUAGCGUGAAGGAUGACUGCCCUAUGGGUUGUAAACUUCUUUUAUACGGGAAUAAAGUGAGGCACGUGUGCCUUUUUGUAUGUACCGUAUGAAUAAGGAUCGGCUAACUCCGUGCCAGCAGCCGCGGUAAUACGGAGGAUCCGAGCGUUAUCCGGAUUUAUUGGGUUUAAAGGGAGCGUAGGCGGACGCUUAAGUCAGUUGUGAAAGUUUGCGGCUCAACCGUAAAAUUGCAGUUGAUACUGGGUGUCUUGAGUACAGUAGAGGCAGGCGGAAUUCGUGGUGUAGCGGUGAAAUGCUUAGAUAUCACGAAGAACUCCGAUUGCGAAGGCAGCUUGCUGGACUGUAACUGACGCUGAUGCUCGAAAGUGUGGGUAUCAAACAGGAUUAGAUACCCUGGUAGUCCACACAGUAAACGAUGAAUACUCGCUGUUUGCGAUAUACAGUAAGCGGCCAAGCGAAAGCGUUAAGUAUUCCACCUGGGGAGUACGCCGGCAACGGUGAAACUCAAAGGAAUUGACGGGGGCCCGCACAAGCGGAGGAACAUGUGGUUUAAUUCGAUGAUACGCGAGGAACCUUACCCGGGCUUGAAUUGCAACUGAAUGAUGUGGAGACAUGUCAGCCGCAAGGCAGUUGUGAAGGUGCUGCAUGGUUGUCGUCAGCUCGUGCCGUGAGGUGUCGGCUUAAGUGCCAUAACGAGCGCAACCCUUAUCGAUAGUUACCAUCAGGUUAUGCUGGGGACUCUGUCGAGACUGCCGUCGUAAGAUGUGAGGAAGGUGGGGAUGACGUCAAAUCAGCACGGCCCUUACGUCCGGGGCUACACACGUGUUACAAUGGGGGGUACAGAAGGCAGCUACACGGCGACGUGAUGCUAAUCCCUAAAGCCUCUCUCAGUUCGGAUUGGAGUCUGCAACCCGACUCCAUGAAGCUGGAUUCGCUAGUAAUCGCGCAUCAGCCACGGCGCGGUGAAUACGUUCCCGGGCCUUGUACACACCGCCCGUCAAGCCAUGAAAGCCGGGGGUACCUGAAGUGCGUAACCGCAAGGAGCGCCCUAGGGUAAAACUGGUGAUUGGGGCUAAGUC
rnacentral:rRNA from 1 species